AAUGUAAUGGACUGCUGGCCCUUGACUUUGCACUUCCAGCCUCCAGACUGUGAGAAGUCGGUUUCUGCUGUUUAUAAGUCCCCCAGGCUGUGGUAUUUUUGUUCUAGCACCUUAAACAGACUAAGACAUUGAAUACUUUUGAACUCUCUGUUGCUAUCCUAAUGCUAAGGUUUUUGAAUAGUUAUGCAAAGAGACUUUGGAGAACAUGAAAGUAGAGAGGAAGGCACUGAGAACAUCUGGGAGAAAGCCAACUUAAACCGACAGCGAGGGGCACCCGAGGGCUUUGGGGAGUGUUAGAGCACACCCGGACUGUGGGAGACCCCCUUCCUUGGGAUCGCGGCUGCAUUCUGCCUUCACACUGCCCGCCUGUGAUUUCCUGGCCUUCAGCUCCGCCCCUCAAAGCCGUCCUACCGGAGGCUCCAUGCUUGUGCUCAGGACCCGGAGGCUCUGCAUCCUAAUGACACCGUGAAUGGCCACCUAAUGACUUACCUCCCACUUCCUGGUGUGCAUGCUGUAACCUUGUGCAAGACCCCAGCUCACCCUCCCGGGGGCCAUCCUGGUCUGCGCUCCUCCAUCCAGGCGAACAGUCAUGCUAAAGAAAAUCCCACAGUCAUGGAGAAGACAUUACUUUCUAGAAUAGUCAAAAGAAUCUACAAACUAAAUAAUGCACAGAUUUAACAAGUCUACUUUAUACAUGUUCACUAAAAGAAAUCAGUUGUAUUUUCUAUAUAUAUUAGCAACAAAAAUUUGUACAAUAUGUCUUUCUAAAAUAUGCCAUUAGUAUUGUAACAAUGAUCAAAUACCCGGAUGAAAUC